rnacentral:rRNA from 1 species
UAGGGAAUCUUCCGCAAUGGACGCAAGUCUGACGGAGCAACGCCGCGUGAGUGAAGAAGGAUUUCGGUUCGUAAAACUCUGUUGUUAGAGAAGAACAGCGCAUAGAGUAACUGUUAUGCGUGUGACGGUAUCUAACCAGAAAGCCACGGCUAACUACGUGCCAGCAGCCGCGGUAAUACGUAGGUGGCAAGCGUUGUCCGGAUUUAUUGGGCGUAAAGCGAGCGCAGGCGGUCAAUUAAGUCUGAUGUGAAAGCCCCCGGCUCAACCGGGGAGGGUCAUUGGAAACUGGUUGACUUGAGUGCAGAAGAGGAGGGUGGAAUUCCAUGUGUAGCGAUGAAAUGCGUAGAUAUAUGGAGGAACACCAGUGGAGAAGGCGACUCUCUGGUCUGUAACUGACGCUGAGGUUCGAAAGCGUGGGUAGCAAACAGG